UGGGGAAUAUUGGACAAUGGGGGGAACCCUGAUCCAGCCAUGCCGCGUGUGUGAAGAAGGCCUUAUGGUUGUAAAGCACUUUAAGCGAGGAGGAGGGUACUGGUAUUAAUACUACCAGGUACUGGACGUUACUCGCAGAAUAAGCACCGGCUAACUCUGUGCCAGCAGCCGCGGUAAUACAGAGGGUGCGAGCGUUAAUCGGAUUUACUGGGCGUAAAGCGUGCGUAGGCGGCUAAUUGAGUCGGAUGUGAAAUACCCGAGCUUAACUUGGGAAUUGCAUUCGAUACUGGUUAGCUAGAGUGUGGGAGAGGAUGGUAGAAUUCCAGGUGUAGCGGUGAAAUGCGUAGAGAUCUGGAGGAAUACCGAUGGCGAAGGCAGCCAUCUGGCCUAACACUGACGCUGAGGUACGAAAGCAUGGGGAGCAAACAGG
rnacentral:rRNA from 1 species